AUUGAAUCGAUGACCGGGAGAGUAAUAUCCCUGAAUCUAGUCCCCAGCGAGCCGGGAGAGUGUAAGCCGGUACAGAUCAGGAUUAUGAAGCGCACCCGUGAGAUGGACUUCUGAACCUUAAGAGUAGGAAGCCCCGGCUAAAGACCGUUAACCUGUAAGGUGGUUGAACUGUAGGUUCAGCAACGAGAGUGGUACCGCGAGCGCAUAAGCCUCGUCUCUUUU
rnacentral:ncRNA from 1 species